rnacentral:rRNA from 1 species
AUGAACGCUGGCGGCGUGCUUAACACAUGCAAGUCGAACGAUUAAAGCUCACUUCGGUGAGUGUAUAGAGUGGCGAACGGGUGAGUAACACGUGGGAAACCUGCCCCUUUCUUCGGGAUAACUUCGGGAAACCGUUGCUAAUACCGGAUACUCCGGGAUGGUCGCAUAGCCGACCCGGGAAAGCUUUAUGUGGAAAGGGAUGGUCCCGCGGCCCAUUAGCUUGUUGGUGGGGUAAUGGCCUACCAAGGCGAUGAUGGGUAGCCG